AGCUACAAUGACACCAGCUGAGCUGUAUGCGGUGCUUCUCCAGCAAGCUCUUCAUCAAUUCAAGCCACCUAUGCCGCUACAGAUUAGGCGGUGUGCUUUUCACCCAAGCUUGUUCCUCAAGUCGUGAGAUAUUAAGAGUUUGUAUUUAGGCUGAACUCUGUAUGGUUUUUUCUUUCACAGACCAGAUGCAAAUCCAAACAAUCUGGCUUGGAUCAAGCACAAACUGGGAUUUUCCACCACAACCAUGAUCCUCUGAUCGCCACUUACAAUAUCAAGGAUCGCAGCAUCACUGUCGGAUGUUUAUCCCUGCAUUCAACUUGAUAUUGUAAUGCUCUUCUCUCAUGGCUGCAAAUUCUGGUAUGUACAUGCCUGCCUCCACACUUAUGUGUCUUGUAUGAUAUCCUAAUUUCCAUGUUCCUAUUUUCUUUUGUUUUUAUGUGCACUACAUGCAUACCACAUGUUUGUCAAUGUGCCUGAAAAAAUGAAGAAAAAAAAAUGAUAUACUUCAGAUUGCCUUUACAUUCUUUAUGUUUCUCUUUAUUUGCUUUGCAAAAUUUUCCCAACUCAAGGAAACAAAAGCAAUUGUCUUACUAAACUGGUUUCUAGAUGUUUAUGUAUGAUUGGAAAACACGUUGCUCUUGUAUUAGCUGAACUGGUUUUGGAUUAGGAAUAAUGUAUGAUAUUUUAGACAAUACAAAUGAUCGGUGUAGUAUUCCAAAAUGCUUUUAACUUGUGGAGAAUGUAAUUUAGAUGUUUAUGUAUGAUUGUCAACACAUUGUUCAGUUAUUCACUGAAUGUUUUUUCGACUAGGAAUGACGGAUAUAAUUAUAUUGGAGGUCCAUGAAACGAAAUCUCGAAUAUUAUUGACAACACAAGAGACGCUUGCUAAUAAUAAAUACUAAAGUUGUGGAACUUGAGGGAAUCUAAUCUAAUUUAAAUGUUUAUGUGUCUGACUUGAAAUCUUAAAAUUAAAUUCAAAUUCAAAUCUUAAAAAUUACAGAUACUUGAAUCAAUCUUAAAAAAUUCAACUAUUCUUAUUCAAAUCAAUCUUAAAACCACAUGUAAACUAAAUCUAAAUUUUAACUAUUUUGAGGAUCCUUUUUAGAGGUCUCAAGGCUAAACAUGAUAUUCCCAUUCUUGCUAAACGUUACAUGGACAAUGUUAUUUAAUAUUUUAGCUUCUUUCUUUUCUUCUUACAACUGUUUUCCUGGACAAUUAAGAGAAAUCUGGCUUGAUUAAGAAAUUUGUAAAUCAAGGGUUCAAUUUUUUUUAUAAUUUCUCCUUGUUAAUGAUCUCUUUUGUUUUUGUCCCUUCAGAAAUUACAGUUGGAUGAAUUUGCUCCACGUGAGGUGAGCUUUGAAUGCAUCAACAAAGAUUUUGAUUUAUUUCUUCAAGGAAAAUGUCUCCGAUGUGUGAUUUGGAGAAAAUUUCAUUUUUACCCCUAUACUUUACCUUGAUGAUCAAUUACACCCUCAGACUUCAAAUAAUUUCAAUUUUAUCCCUAUAUUUUUUGAAAUCAUAUCAAUUAAGCCCCUACCGUCACAUUUGAAACGGAAAAAGUUCAAAAAAUUACAUUUUGAUGCUAAAUUUCAAAAAAAAAAAAAA